UACGUAGGGACCGAGCGUUGUCCGGAAUCAUUGGGCGUAAAGAGCGUGUAGGCGGCUAGGUAGGUCCGUUGUGAAAACUCGAGGCUCAACCUCGAGCUGUCGAUGGAAACCAUCUAGCUAGAGUCCGGAAGAGGAGAGUGGAAUUCCUGGUGUAGCGGUGAAAUGCGCAGAUAUCAGGAAGAACACCCGUGGCGAAGGCGGCUCUCUGGUACGUGACUGACGCUGAGACGCGAAAGCGUGGGGAGCGAACAGG
rnacentral:rRNA from 1 species